ensembl:lncRNA
UCCCGCCUUCCCCGCCUGGGUAUUUGCCCCAAUCCCAGCAGGCAAUUCCUCUCUCCCCGGCUCCCGGGGCUCCCAGAACCAGGAAAGAGAACAAGUAUUAACGGAAGCUCGCCGUUAGCAUGAAAAAGCGGAAACAGAGGAAAGGUCUGGACAGGAGACAAUGCUCAACCCCGCCUCUUGCCCUGUGGCCGCCGCCAUCUUGGUAAGGGCAGGGUUUUUCCCAGCUUCCUCAGCGGGACGCCGGAGACCACGCCGGCUGGGCGGUUACCGUGGCAACGGAAGCAUCUUUAGCCCUCUGGCGAAGUUCGGUGAACUACAAACCCCGAGACCUUCCCUUUCACGUUUUCAGCACUCCGUUCUUGGGUGCUGUGACUCGUCUACUAAAAUGACAGUGUCAGAGCUGGAAGGACCCUUCGAGAUGCCAGCCUAACCCUACUUUUGCAGAGCAGGAAACUAAGUGCCAGAGAGGGAACGGAUUUUGUCCAGAGCUACCCAUAGUUGGUAUAAGAUCCAGAUCUUGACCCUGAGACUCCUGCCGCCUAGGCCAGUGCCCUUUCAACGCUUGCACACUUGUGUUCAGUGGCUCUGCUGUUAACGACAGAUUGGUGCCUCCUUUCCCCGCAUGCAAACUAAGAGCAUCGAGGCAGAUGCUUUCUAUGGUAUUUGCUGAAAGACUCCUCACACCCCAUCCCCCUCCUUAGUCCUGAGGAGCAGCUCCCCUGAAGUACAGACCCCGCAUACCUGAGGCUCAGGAAAUGCCAUCAGUGCCUCCCUGCCGAAGAGUCCAAAUCUUGUCUCCCUGCCAACCUCUGCUGCCUCUGCUAUUGUGUAAAGUGGGUUCCCCGGAGGGGGUUAGUGCUCCCAGAGCCACAGCCCUGGCAUCCACCUCAUGCAGGUAGCAUGAGCCCAGGCCUGUCCAGCUUCUUCUCUAGCUGCCCCCAGGGGCAGCUGAGGAAGGAAAGAUGCAGAAAGAUGAUUAUCUACAUAUUCCAGAGCCUGAUGGGAGUCCCAUCCCACUCCCUCCUUAGGGAGCUAAUCUGAGUCUCAGUAGAUGUGCAGAAUGCCACAAGAGCAACGACUUUCCCAUGUACCCACUGUGCUGUGGUUCGGAUCACUUUCACAGGAUUUUAAAGUUCACCACAACCCUUUGGGAGGAGAACAAGUCUUGGCAGCCACAUUGUGCAGCUAAGGAAACUGAGGCUCAGAAAAGCAGUUUCCUCUUGUCUCAGAGGGUUUUGGUGGCAGAGCGAGGGCCGGAGCCUCAAGCCCUGUUUUGCAAGCCAGGAUCUCAGUUUUGUGAAGUACAGCCUCCAAACCCAGAUACUUUAACAUGGACUGUGGCUCUUCCACCCCACGAGAGUCCUCCCUCCAGCCCAGAUUCUGCCAUUUUGUAGCUGGGUGAUCUUGGGCAAGUCACUGGCUGACUCUGAACUUCAGACAGGAACCCCUGGGGCAGGUCUUGCCCUUCUCUGUCUCCCACAGAGCCUGGCACAAUACCCAGCCGCGGAUAAAGUGCCAUAGAAAUAGCUGUGGCUUUAUAUGAGACGGGAUGUCCUCUGGGCCCUGGAGGAGAGGAUGUGGAUGGACAAGAGAGGGAAAGAGAUGAUGAGGACCUGAACCUGGACAGUGCCAGUGGCCUGAGCUUCCUCCACGGGGCUGGAAUCACCAGACCGAGUAUAGGACCUGAAUUUUGGAAUUUCAGUUUUUAGCAAGCAGCAAGCUCCAGACCCAGAAGCUUCAACAGAGAUGGCAGCUCUCCCACCUCAGGACGGCCCCAGAUCGAAUCUGAGCUCGCUGUUUUGUAGCUGCGGGAUCUCAGGCAAAGUUACCCUUUGCCCCUGAGCCUCGGGUGUCUGCAGAAUGGGGAUGGUGAUCCCUCCCAAGACAGAAGUUCUGCAGACGAUGACAAAAAGGAGAGAUGGGUGUGAACGUGCCUUGGGAGUGAUUCACGUGGCACAGAUGUCAGAGGGCCUCUGUCCACUUGCUGUUCCUGGAACACGCUGGAAUGUUUCCACCUCAGGGCCUUGACUCUUGCAGCCCCCUCUGCGUGGAACAUUCUGCCCGGGGUGUGCCCACUCCCUCACUUCAGCCAUGUCUCUACUCACACGUUGCCUCCUCAGGGAAGCCCUCCGUGAGCAGCAGCUCGAGUACAGCCCUUGGCUGCUCUCCUGCAGAAUGUCCUGCACGACAUGCAGCAUGGUCUGGGGUACACGUUUGUUUUCUUGUCACCCAGCUUCUUGUCUGUCUCCCCACCAACUGCGAGGUCCCCAGGGAAGGUACCUGGCCCACUGGGGUCACACCUCGAUCGCCAGCACCUAGCACAGCACCCCCAUACCUGCUCACUGAAUAACUGUCACUGAGAGCAGGAGCCCAGAGACUGGGCAGUGGUCAGAGAUAGCCGAGGCC